rnacentral:lncRNA from 1 species
AACAAUUAGUACAUAAUACACCAUCCUUCCAUAAAUGGUUUCUUCUUUGUCCCAAAAAUCAUCAGAAACAAGCACUACACUUUCUUAGGAAUAACAGAACAUCCUCGAAGUAUGAAAAGAUUGUACAAUAGCAAUCUGGUGGUUGACAGCAUAGGACAAUCGGAUUCUUGGUGAUUUCAGACGCAACUCAAUUCUGGAGAACAAGA